AUAGGAGAGAGAUGCAGGUAAAUAAAAGGUUAGUGCACACACCUUAAACCAUGACGAUAACUACCAUUACUCCACCUGCACAUAUUUGCCCUCAGGUUCAUGUUGGCUGUUUAUAAAAAGAGGAGAUGAAGUCAAAGAACAUCGCUUUCUUUCACUGCAGUGGACGACAUUCAAGCAGAGAGAUACUAUAGAGCAGAGGAACAACUUCACUAUGAUCGCAAAGAUUUGUAUCAUCGUUCUUCUUUUUGUUGCCUGCUGCAAUGCAUGGACAAUAACCUCAACGGCAACAACAACCACAGCUGUUCCAACAACAACCACAACUGCAGCGACAACA